AUAAUUAAAGAAGACUUGCGACUUGACUUAGACUUUGACAACAAUGACUCGAGACUUGACUUGAACUUGAGCCCUGUGACUUGGAAAGUCUUU